GGCAUCUAUGAAAGGAGAGAGGCUUAGCACUCCCAUUGACAAGAAUGAAAGAGGCCUUCAGGCCUGACAACAUGCAUAGAGUUAAGGCAUUACCACCUACUUCACUGGCAUCUAACCAUCAUUUUUG